GGGGAAUAUGAUGAAAGUUGUAUAUCGGUGAUGGUCUUUUGAUUCAUAUGAUCGACAAAAAUUUCAACUCGCUACGUUCUUUCUGAUUCUUUUUAAGUUGGAAGGAAAAAAAAAAAAAAAAAAAAAAANAAA
rnacentral:snoRNA from 1 species